rnacentral:lncRNA from 1 species
UUUUUUUUUUUUUUUUUUGUAGAGUCAGAUUAAAAUUAUAGAUUAAAAAUAUGUGUUUAAAUAACUAAAGUUUAAUGUAGAUGUGCAUAGUUAUGGGCAGAGUUAUUUUGAACAAGUCAGUGAGAAUGCAGGUAUAUAACAUUGCCUAAAUAAUUUUCUCUGUUAAAAUGUUUACUGUAAAAACAAUUUUAAAUUCAGAACAAAUCAGAACACAUAGCUCUCCCAGUCCUGAGUCAUUUUGAAACUGACAACACUUAGGAUUUGAAAACCCAGCCAAAAGACAGAUUGGGACUUGAACCCAGUUUUCUAAUUAGAAUCACUGGUGUCUGGACUCACUGAAGUUCUUUUUUUUCUUCCUUAGGGCCGCACUUGCAGCAUAUGGAGGUUCCCAGGCUAGGGGUCUAAUUGGAGCUGUAGCUGCCCGCCUACGCCAGAGCCACAGCAACUCGGGAUCCGAGCCGAGUCUGCGACCUACACCACAGCUCACAGCAGUGCGGGAUCCUUAACCCACUGAGUGAGGCCAGGGAUCGAACCCGCAACCUCAUGGUUCCUAGUUGGAUUUGUUUCUGCUGCCCCACAACAGGAACUCCCCAUAAACUAUUUUAAAUAAAGCUAUUAGUCCGUAUCAUUAUUCUAUAAACAUUUUCAUUUGCGCAUAUUAUACAUGUUUUUAAUUUAUAACAGUUCAUCAUUUAGAAUUUCCCCAUGUCUUGCCCUUGUAACUACCAAAAAUAACUUUGCAUUGAAGACCUUCGCAUGCUUCAUUUUUUUGCUUCUUUUGAAUAACUCACAUCGGCUAGAGUUCCAGAAGUGGUGUUAACGGGAUUAAACAAAAAGAGGCCCUGUUUCUUUGUACUUGUUUCCACUUGGCUUUCCAACAAGGCUUAUCCUACUUUUACGCUGGGCAUGUUUGCGUCACCAGCGUGAUUGCAGCCUUGCUGUCAGAGUAUUACCCAUGCUGCAUCCAUGUCUUUUGUCCUUCUUAUUACAUCAACGGGUAAAUGAGUAUCUCAUCAGUCAGGCUAGCCGCCAGGCCAGACCUCAGCUCCUUUCUCUCUCUCCUUGUGCUCGGUGGCCGCCGUGGACGGCAUCACUCAGAUCUCCCUUGAGGAGCGCUGCUUUGACGGGGCAGGUGGUGGAGAGCCUCCAGCUGUCGUGUUUCCAGAGCUGCAGUGGUGUUCACCCCAAGGCCAUGUUCUCCAGGGGCUGCUCCCAGCUGGUGACUGAACCAGGUGGGAUUCAAGAGCCUGGCCAGCGCUGCCCUGGGUGGGGCUCCUCUGAAGAGCAGUUCCUGUUCUGGGCCUCUCUGCAGGCCUGGCUGAGACUUUCUUAGAUCUGCAGCCUCAGGCUUCUUCUACUACCCAAUUCUCCCUCUUCUUUCCUUCCUUCCUCCCUCUCUCCCUCCCUCCCUCGGUUCCUUGCCACACCCACGGCAGGCAGAAGUUCCUGCGCCAGGGAUCGAACCCGUGCCACAGCAGUGACCCAAGCUGCUGCAGUGACAGCACUGGAUCCUUAACCUGCUGCACCAUGAGGGAACUCCUGUCGAUCUCUCCUUUUAUAGGUAUCACACCAGCAUCACAGUCUGAAGCCUCUCCCUGCCUGCUCUUGCCGACUCCUGCUCCCUCUCACCUUCUUCCAUCCCGGAUAAAUCCAUUUCCCCUCGUAAAUCUUUGCAAGUCUAAUUCUGUCUUGGCAUAGUCUCUUGGAAGACCCAGGCUGACACAUACCCCACAGAUGAGUCCCCAUGGCAGUCAUUCCUCUAGGCUAGAUACGCACUCCGAACUAUUUAUUGAGUGAAUGACGGAGUGAUAUAAAAAACAGGAGCUUUGAGGUUGGUCACAACUUGAAGCCCCAGAAGGAGGAUGCCCCCAUAAUUUAUGGGGAAGUGAUAGUAUUUUGAAUCUUUGGAGAUGACAGGGAUUAUUUUUUUGCCGUGUCGUUUUACUUCUGGGUUUGGCUGGCGGUGCCCGUUCUGCAUGGCUUCUUAGGUCUGUGGACAGGUGGUGGCACCAUGGGCUCUGGUAUGAAGAAGUCUUUGACACAACAUUGUUUGUUCCUGUCACACGUGAACAUGGUUUUCUCCCGGGGGCCACAGUGCAUCCUGCAGUGUCCUGGGACCUUGUGCCCACAACUUGUCCCACCCCCACUGGCUGCAAGGAAGGGGAAAACAUGGAAAACUCAAGGUUAGCAACAAUCUAGGGAUGGCUGUGCGGCUGGGGCUUUUUAUUCUCAGAUGUGAGCUUGAGAAAUCAUGCAAAUGAAGGUUGAGAAAGACUUUGAACAGGCGACAGAACCCCCCCUCCGGCCCCCACCCGCUGGACGGCCCUGGUAACACUGAGGAGCUCUUUGUCUUUGCCAGUAUCUGCAUCUUUGCAGCCAGCUAAGAACUGUAAUGUUGCUAUCGUGGGUACCCACAAAAUGUGUGGAUUGAAAAUACAGGCUGGGAAGCCUCCCUUCACUGUCAGGGAGGAGCUUGAACACUUGAAAGGGGAAUUAGAGCUAUUCUUUUUUUUGUUUGUUUGUUUUCCUUUUUAGGGCUGAACCUGUAGCACAAGGAAGUUCCCCUGCUAGGGGUUGAAUUCACGCUGCACCUGCUACAGCCACAGCAACGCCAGAACCAUACCUUGUCUUCGAGCUACACUGCAGCUUGCUGCUGCGCCAGACCCUUAACCCACUGGAGUGGGGCUGGGGAUCGAACCUGCAUCCUUAUGGACACUAGUUUGAUUUGUUACCACUGAGCCACAGCAGGAACUCCCGGAAUUAGGGCUAUUCUUACUCAUCCUGCAUCCUCUCCUUUUAAUGGGGUUUCUGCUGCAUUUGUUCUCAGGGAAUAUAAAACUGUAAAGGUCAGUCAACCCAGGGCAAAAAAAAAAAAAAAAAAAAAAAA